UAAACAUGCAGUCGACGCCCCGCAAGGGGAGUGGCAGACGGGUGAGUAACGCGUGGGAAUCUACCAAGUUCUACGGAACAACACAGGGAAACUUGUGCUAAUACCGUAUACGCCCUACGGGGGAAAGAUUUAUCGGAAUUAGAUGAGCCCGCGUAAGAUUAGCUAGUUGGUGGGGUAAUGGCCUACCAAGGCGACGAUCUUUAGCUGGUCUGAGAGGAUGAUCAGCCACACUGGGACUGAGACACGGCCCAGACUCCUACGGGAGGCAGCAGUGGGGAAUAUUGGACAAUGGGCGCAAGCCUGAUCCAGCCAUGCCGCGUGAGUGAUGAAGGCCUUAGGGUUGUAAAGCUCUUUCAGUAGGGAAGAUAAUGACGGUACCUACAGAAGAAGCCCCGGCUAACUUCGUGCCAGCA
rnacentral:rRNA from 1 species